AAGUCUAACUGCUUUCUUGGGAAUCACAGGGCUUCUGGGAAACACAGCUUUCUUACUUUCACUUUUACUAUGUUGUGGGAGGGGUUUGUGGGGGUCUCAGUAUAUAUAACGGGAGCAGUGCGAACAUUUCUGAUAAGACUGCAACAUCUAUGCAGACCAGGCUGAGCUAAGGACGCACACAGUAAAAGAUGAACAGACAAUAAGAUGGAAGACAACAAUUUUAGCACAGCAACUGGAGAGGGAGGAGAAAGUGAAACCAAUUCUGUGACAAAGAACAAAGAGCUGCCUAAGCUCACACUUUUGUUAAUUGGUGACUCAAACUCCAUUGAGAUUGGACCAAAAAACAUCUUACUUGACCAUGAAGAGAGAAGAAACGUGGAACAGUUUUCAUCCAAACUGUAUGAUUUCUGUGGUCGACACAUCUCUCUCAUUAACAUGCUUGGUUUAGAAAACAUUGAAGAAAUCCCGGUAAACCAGGAUAUUCAUGCCUUUCUAUUACUGUUACCAUAUGGUCUG